CCCCCCUCUCCGGCCGCCCCUCUCCAACCGCCGGUCUGCCCCGUGCGGGUCAAUCCAUGCAACCGCCGGUCAUCUCCUUGCGCGGCAACUGCCGAUCGUGGAGAUUACCACCUCCAGCACAAAAUGCUCAAAGCCCCCUCCCCGCCCUUGUUCUCCCCUCGUCUCCCAGUCACCUCUCUCAAAUCCGGCGACUGGACCAGCUGCUGCCGCCACUGGGAAACCUCCGACCACAGAAUAGGUCGGACGCCGCCGGCAGUGGCCACGCUGCUGCGUCGUCCAUCUUGCUCGUCGCCCACCAGAAGACAGGAGGGCGUGCACAGGACGUCUUCCUCCUCCUUACGCCGCAUCUUUGGACGAAGAAGCGUUGGUGGAGGGCGGUGGCUCCAGGGGCAGUGACCAUCGCGACGAGGCAACUGCAGGGUACACGAAGGAGUUCUACUUCCACAACCUGCUGCUCGAAUCCUAUUCCUUCUACUGGUUCAGGAGAUACCUGACCAAGGUUUUCGUUAUUGGCCACAUUAUCUGGAUGAAGUUAAGUUAGCAACAAAGUUAGUAGGGACCCUAUCUCUCUACCGCUGAUAGCCUGCCAAGCAUUCAACAAGAUUCAAGAGGAAGCAAUUCCCAAUCAGGCUCAGCUUUGCCAUGACAAUCAACAAGGCACAAGGACAGACCAUCCCAGUUGUCGGCGUGUACCUACCGGAGGCGGUAUUCUCCCAUGGUCAGCUCUAUGUUGCGUUGUCCAGAGCCACCGCAAAAAGCAACAUUAAGAUUCUCGCUGUCAAGGACCAGGAAAAGAACUAGAACAAGAAUUCAAAGAAGAGGAAAAGAUCCGAGUCCUUAGUUACGACCACAAAGAACAUAGUGUACAAAGAAGUCCUUAUUGUUUGAUGUCAUUGGGAAAAAUCUUAGCAGCUUCCCUGUUGAUCCUUAUAUACCACUUCUGUAAAGGUUGGAGCAAGAAACCCACAACUGUUCUGCAAGACAUUUGAAGAAGCUCACAACAAGCUUGUACUGGCCUCUCAUUUUCAAAAAAUAUUGCAGUCUCUAUUUUUUUGGGAGAUCUUACAAGAUUGUGUCUACUUGUGGAGAUAUACAAAGAAUUGAAUCUGGAGGUGGUUCAAAGAUUCCUGAAUGUCUACAAGUACUGAUGAUGAAGUGUAAUGGAUGCUGCUGAAACCUUCAAAUGCCAAUGGACUCGGUUUUAGCAUCGCUGCUGAUGAUGUUAAGAUUUACGAUUUGCUUUUCUGGUUCUCAUCUUGUGAGAAGGUGAUACAGAAAUUCGUUGUUGAUUAGCUAGAUUAAAAUGUUUCCUCUGUUUCAAAAUGUAUGCGAAGUUUACCACAUGUUUCAAAAGCAACUGUAUUAAUUUGUCAGUGGCA